AGCUUUCCUGAAGCAUGAGGUGAAGAAAGCACAGCCUUGGUGGGAUGGUGAGAAGAAGGAGGAGCCCCCAGCCCUGGCCUGGGAGGAGCCUCUGAUGUGAAGCUACUGGAGGACCCACUGCCAAAAUCAAGAUGUAAAUCAAGAGAGCAGAUACACGGGAAUGACUACUUGGAGCUCAGACUGGAAGUUCCACGAGGUCAGAGACUUUGUAUGGUUGUCUUUGGGGAGAGCAGAAAAGAAAACCCUGCAGAGGACCUUGGAUAUACUUUAAAAGGAAAACUUCCAGUAGAAGACACUGAUGAUGAAAUGACACGUGUGAGCAGUUGCAGGG